rnacentral:rRNA from 1 species
GAAGUGUGGACGCCAGUCUGCAUGGAGCCGACCUUGAAAUACCACCCUUUAAUGUUUGAUGUUCUAACGUGGACCCGUGAUCCGGGUUGCGGACAGUGUCUGGUGGGUAGUUUGACUGGGGCGGUCUCCUCCUAAAGAGUAACGGAGGAGCACGAAGGUUGGCUAAUCCUGGUCGGACAUCAGGAGGUUAGUGCAAUGGCAUAAGCCAGCUUGACUGCGAGCGUGACGGCGCGAGCAGGUGCGAAAGCAGGUCAUAGUGAUCCGGUGGUUCUGAAUGGAAGGGCCAUCGCUCAACGGAUAAAAGGUACUCCGGGGAUAACAGGCUGAUACCGCCCAAGAGUUCAUAUCGACGGCGGUGUUUGGCACCUCGAUGUCGGCUCAUCACAUCCUGGGGCUGAAGUAGGUCCCAAGGGU